rnacentral:rRNA from 1 species
UACGUAGGUGGCAAGCGUUGUCCGGAUUUAUUGGGUUUAAAGGGUGCGUAGGCGGUCUUGUAAGUCAGUGGUGAAAUACGGCAGCUCAACUGUCGAGGUGCCAUUGGUACUGUAGGACUUGAGUACAGACGAGGUAGGCGGAAUUGACGGUGUAGCGGUGAAAUGCUUAGAUAUCGUCAAGAACACCGAUAGCGAAGGCAGCUUACUAGGCUGUAACUGACGCUGAGGCACGAAAGUGUGGGGAUCAAACAGG